GCGGGAAGUGUGGAGCACAUGAGGACGAACUGGAAACUGCAGGACCUACUGCAAACACAGAAGGAGCUGAUGAAGAGGGAACUGUGGCUGUACAUUGGGGUGAACGUUUUUGAUUACCUGGGCAGUAUCAUCAGCUACAUCAUCAUAGCGAUUCCCAUCUUUGGUGGACAGUACAAUGGUCUUGCCCCUGCAGCCCUUAUCGAGUUGGUCAGUAAGAAUGCCUUUGUAUCCAUCUAUCUUAUACACUGCUUCAGCCAGCUCAUCGACCUCUCAACAACCGUGACUGACCUCGCAGGCUACACACACAGAAUUGGAGAGCUGCAAGAGAUGAUCCUCAAACUCUCCAAAUCAUGUUGCAAGAGCAGACAGCCGUCAUGCAAAGAAUUGUGGGGUUUUGAAAAGGACAGUUUAGAUUCUGAAGACGAGAACAAGGAAGAGUCUGGUGGCAUGGCCUUUAAUCUGGAACAGGUUUCCUUUACUGCGCUGUCCUCCAAGGAGUUGCUGGUGAAAAACCUAACCCUGACAGUCACUGCAGGACACAACCUCUUGGUAACAGGCAACACCGGCUCUGGAAAGACCACUCUGUUACGGGUCCUGAACAGGUUAUGGGAGACAGCCGAUGGGUCUGUCCGCAUGCUGACUUCCUUUGGGCCCCGUGGAGUUAUGUUUCUUCCCCAGAAACCGUACUUCACUGAUGGAACCCUGCGAGAACAGGUGAUUUAUCCUUUGAAGGAAAUCUACCCGAUUACAGGUUUACCGGAUGAUGAGAGAAUCAUCCACUUCUUAACAGUGACUGGAUUGGUGAGUCAUUGAUAUUCAUCCCCUUUAAAGGCAGCAGCACAGUGUUUUCACAAUUCAGCAUUUACAGCAAACCCAUUUCACAUGUUGGCAAGGGUCACUACUGAAGAGGACUGGUGGACUGGAUGAGAGAGUGGAUUGGAACUGGUUCGACGUGCUGUCUCCCGGAGAAAUGCAGAGACUGUGCUUCGCUCGACUCUUCUAUCACCAGCC